rnacentral:tRNA from 1 species
GUCUCGAUAGCUUAGUUGGUAAAGCGCUCGUUUUACAUACAAGAGUCCUGGGUUCGAAUCUCAGUCAAGCA